CCUACGGGAGGCAGUAGUGAGGAAUAUUGGUCAAUGGACGAGAGUCUGAACCAGCCAAGUAGCGUGAAGGAUGACUGCCCUAUGGGUUGUAAACUUCUUUUAUAAAGGAAUAAAACGAGGCACGUGUGCCUUUUUGCAUGUACUUUAUGAAUAAGGAUCGGCUAACUCCGUGCCAGCAGCCGCGGUAAUCCGGAGGAUCCUGGCGUUAUCCGGAUUUAUUGGGUUUAAAGGGAGCGUAGAUGGGUUGUUAAGUCAGUUGUGAAAGUUUGCGGCUAAACCGUAAAAUUGCAAUUGAUACUGGGAGUCUUGAGUACAGGUGAGGUAGGCGGAAUUCGUGGUGUAGCGGUGAAAUGCUUAGAUAUCACGAAGAACCCCGAUUGCGAAGGCAGCUUACUAAACUGUGACUGACAUUGAUGCUCGAAAGUGUGGGUAUCAAACAGGAUUAGAUACCCGGGUAGUC
rnacentral:rRNA from 1 species